CCUUGUCACCACAGACUCUACAUUCCAUGUUUAGACUUCCUGAAUUUGCUUCAUCACAGCCCAUCUGGAGUUGGUCCAACAGAGAAGGAGACGAACUCUGAGAAAGAUCUAUCCGGAAACAGAAUGAGGAAGAUGGUUUAUGUGAUCAAACUGCAAGGAUUUCAAUCAGUGUUGCAAGAGGAUAAUUAAGGUGACCUACUUUUGGAUAUUUGGAGAUUCUGCAUAAUUUUGAGAGAAUAGUUUAAUAACCUUUGAUGACUAGAGUGUUACUUCAAGCACUGGAAUGCACUCUGAGAAGGCAGAAGAUAAAGAUGUCCUCAAAUUAAGCUCCAAUUCUGGUGACCAGUUGGGCAAAAAAAUAUAAUUUUCUUAACAGCUCUGUGUCAUUGUUUUAUUUCAUUUUGUUUGUUUUUUCCAACCUGGUUUAAAGCCCUGAUAUUCCUUGGUAAUCUUUCAUUCACAUACUAACCAGCCCAACUCUGUUUAGUUUUGAGUCCAGAUUCCUACUAAGACCACAAACACACACACCUACACACACCAUGCACUAUUAGAACUCCAUUACUCUUUAGGUUGGCACUUGAUUUUUUGUUCUCUCUCUUUUCUUUACUACAAUGCAAAGGAAACAAAAUAUUUCCUUAAACCAAAAAAAGAAAUAGGAAAUACUACAAUGUCUAGCUAAAUGUUUGCUUAGCAUAUUCCUUCCUGUGCAAUUUUUGUUCCAGUACCAGUUUUCUUCAAUGUAAUAAUGCCCUUCAGACGUCCUGAUGUGUAAAUAUUAGCAUUUAAAGUUUCAGUAAACCAGCAACCAUAUUUGGAAUCUCUGUGUUUCCAGACCUCCCCCAUAUACAUCUCUUCCAGAGGUAUCUCAUUAUUUUUAUGUUAGCAACUUUUAAUCAGGGGAAACCAUUUUUCAGAUCUAACUUUCAAAUAUUUCCCAAGUCAUUACUGUAUUGCAGUGCUAUGCAGCAAUGCAUCUGGAAACAUGCUUGAGAUAAUGGCUUUAUGUGCUUAUCUUCACAGAAGUUAGCCUGCUCUAUUCAUUGGGACUUGCUCUCAUAUAAAUGUUUAUAUGCAAUUUCAGUUUUACCUACUUUAACCACAAACAAAUUAGAACAGAUAUACACAAGAAAAACAACAGCUAUAAAUGCACUCACUUGUCUACGAAGUGGAACAUUUGAUGAAAAAUCUAUCGAACAAUUAAUUAUGAGUGGGCCACAAAUUAACAUAUGGAAAUCAGCAACAAAUGAAAAAGUCUUCAGUAACAAUCAUACCUGCUUUGUCUUCUCUAAAAGCCUAUAGUUGCUAUUCUUUAUAUACAAAGCACAAGCUUAUGUUGAGAAAAAAAAAUCAUAAUACAUCUUUAAAAUAUUAAUUAAAAGUGCUGAGAUUGUUGAAAAUAACAAGAUGCGUUUCAUGUCCAUCACUAGAGCUGAUAUAUUGAUUACCUUUAUACGUACCCAGAUAAUUCAUACAAUCCUAGAAGUUCAUCAACAUUUAGAAACACAUGAUGUCAAGACAUGGCCAAAGUGAUCCACUUGCACAACCAAAGAACUUCACAAAACAGCUAUUAGCAAGCUUAAUCACUUUUUUUUUAUAAUUGUAUGUUCUUGACAUUAAAAAAUUCAUAGAGAUAACUUUAUCAUAAUUCUUAACUUAAAAACUGCAAAGCAUAAUAAUAUUGGAUUAAAAUAUAUUUUUAAUAAAAUCAAAAAUGAUUCUUUAGAACUAAUAUGAAUAGAGAUGCACUGUAUUUAUUAGACUUUACUGUACACUGUGCAUUUAUCUUCAAAGUUGGGCAAGGAGAAGAAAUAACAAAGGUUUUUCAAAGUCAAUUCUGUAGCAUCAUUGAGAUAUGUGGCAUUAAUUAAACAAAAAAUACUGUAUCAGGCUUAAAACAAAAUAAAACAUUUCAGUUAUCUACAACUGUGUAUUUUCAUAUUGUGAAAGCUGCUAUGCUUUGGGUUUAUAGCUGCUAUCUGAAUGUCACCAGAUAGUUUCUUCCAAUUUGAUGUAGGACAACCUUUUAAAAAAAUAAAUACUAUUCACUUUAGUUAUAAUUAUAUAUACAAUUAUACAUAUGAAGGUUAAGGCAUCCAUUUUAAACUGAACAUGUGUUCUCUCUUAUGGGGUCAAAGAGGAAAAGCAGAAAGGGAAAACCUAUGUUUUAUCUUCUCAUUUCCUAUUCUUCCUCCAAUCCCAAUCAUUUCAAAAUUUGAGAGUAGAUUGUCAAAAACAUGCCCUAUCUCAAUGAAGUAUAAAACCAUAUGAGCAGAGGUGGCAUCACACUCUUUGCUCUGGACAACAUAAUGGGAAAGACUGAGCUCAGUAACAACGGAGAAGAGUGAUGCUUAUUUCUGUUUGCUUGUCCUCUUCUCUGGGAAUUUCAGUAGGGCAGGCUGGGAUCAUCAGCUGUCUCAGAGUCAAUUAUGGUUGCUUCGAAAAGAUAACAGUAUGUUAUUUAUUAUGAGCACUGUACUUUGUAUUAUCAAUGGGAGAGAAGAUAUUUAUGGUAGUUUCCACCUCCAAUACCUAAAUAACUGCCUGACCUUGCAACCAUCCACCUUUCUACCUGAGGCAGCAAAAUACCUUGUUCUUGUCUUCCCCUGAAGGGGCAUGCAGAGAAACCUAGAGGACUCAGGUGGUUGCUUACAUUCCCGCCUUUAUGCCUGCCAUGCCUAGAUGGCAGAACCCUUUGAAGGGGCAGCAAGGCUGGGUCAACCUGUGCUCUUUUUAGGCAACACUGUAGGCCCGAGUCCCGUCCGCUUUACCACCAGGCCAAGAGACGGCGACCCUCCAAAAAAAAAAAAAGGAUCGCCUGUCUUCUCCGGUCCCCACGCUCAGGGCAUCCUUGCCGGCACUUCCAUUUACCGCACCGCUUUGAGAAGAAGAAACAGGCUCUGCCUUUGCUCGAUCCCUUCAGCGCU